GAGCCGUUAGCUCAGUUGGCAGAGCACUGGAUUUUUAAUCCAGGUGUCCCGGGUUCGACCCCCGGACGGCUCACCA
rnacentral:tRNA from 1 species